rnacentral:lncRNA from 1 species
AACCCCAACCCACAUGAGGGAAUGCCAUUAGCAUAAUAAUUGAAGAAGGAAGACGGACGAAGCUUAGCUUACAACUUAGAAGACUAUAGCGUCUAAGGAAGAGCAUGAUUGAUUGCUAUAAUGAUGAAUGAGUGGUACUCUAUUCGCUUUAUUAAAGAAGAAAGUUCAUCAAGUUCUAAUGUUUUAAAAAAUUUCAACCUUAUAUAUAUGAAAGCUGUGUUGUGUUGUUAUGUAUUUGCUUCAAUCCAUGAAGACUUUAUGUGGG